rnacentral:lncRNA from 1 species
CUCGGGGCUUAUUCCCUUACUUGGGAGGAAAGAGGAACCAAGAGACAGAAGGGGGACCGAAGCUGGCGUCUGGGCGUCUUCCCGCCCGCGCAGCCCUCUCGGGGAGGGGGAUGGCAGCCCGAGUCGGCGCCGCGCAGCUCGGGCGGCCCGGUUGGGGUCCGGCAGCCCUGGGGGCUUCCGCUUGCUCCGGAAUCCGCGGCUCCAAAGCAGCCUGUGUCGGCUGCCCGCUACUACGGCACUGCGGCGCCCUGCCCGUAGCAGCUUGGUGAAGACUCUGAGCCUCGAAUCACACAGCUGAUAAGUGGCAAAAUCUGAC